AACGAACGCUGGCGGCAUGCCUAACACAUGCAAGUCGAACGAGACCUUCGGGUCUAGUGGCGCACGGGUGCGUAACGCGUGGGAACCUGCCCUUAGGUUCGGGAUAACUCCCCGUAAGGGGUGCUAAUACCGGUUAAUGUCUUCGCACCAAAGAUUUAUCGCCUUUGGAUGGGCCCGCGUUGGAUUAGCUAGUUGGUAGGGUAAAAGCCUACCAAGGACACGAUGCUUAGCUGGUCUGAGAGGAUGAUCAGCCACACUGGGACUGAGACACGGCCCACACUCCGACGGAAGGCAGCAGUGGGGAAUAUUGGACAAUGGGCGAAAGCCUGAUCCAGCAAUGCCGCGUGAGUGAGGAAGGGCGUAGGGUUGUAAAGCUCUUUUACCCGGGAUGAUAAUGACAGUACCGGGAGAAUAAGCUCCGGCUAACUCCGUG
rnacentral:rRNA from 1 species